UUUUCCACAUGAUUAGACAUACCUUUGUGCAAAAUAGGCAAAUCUCACGAAAGUAAAAGCUUCGGUGUGCUGAAAAUGAGACCAAACUACAACAGAAAUUAGGUGUGGGCGAAGAUGCA